UUGAGUCAAAGAAAAUAUUUAUACUAUCAGCCCGAGUCAAUUGGAGGGGGAGAGAGGGUGGUACACACAUUGGUAAUUAUUUUGCACCAGCAAUGCUUAUUUCAAUGAGGGUAUUUGGAUGCUUGAAUCCUCUUUUCUAACAGCCAUUUUUGACCCCAAGAGGUGUGUGGGACAUUUUCUUUUGAAAUACCCUCCCUACAUUUCACAUAUACUCAGUUUAGCUCUCAGAGAAUGAGCUAAAUCAUAUAGACAGUGAAGACUCUUAUCUGAAGUAGUUCUUGGAUGUAAAGGGGAAGAGGGUGACUUCAGCAGGCUUUGUACCAAAAUCAAGCUGAAGUCUUGUUAUGGGUCUUUGUUCCUCUUCUGUCUCCCUCUAGCUGCUGCCUGCCUCCUGCCUCUGUCCCUCAGGGCUCACUGACCCUGCACUCUGCCUUAGUUCUGGGCCUUGCUAUGCAGUGGGCUUCUCACUUGUGGCAGUGUCAUAGCAGCAUAUUGUGUUUAUUGGGGUCCCCCCAGGGAACUGAAGAUGACUGUAUUGAUGGAUCUGUUUUUGGGACUCAGGAGAAAAGAUGCACAGCCCCAUCUUUUUGCAGAGCCUCAUCUUCCAGGAGCCAUGACUCAGAGGAAAAAGAACUCUUUCAUCUCUGUGACAACAAGCCCAUUUUAGCUUGCUGGAGGAUACAAUACCAUAAGAAGAAAAGCCUAGGUGCCACACACUUAGUGAGCCAGACAGUUCACUCCCAGAAACAGAGCCACCUAAUUCACCAGCAGCUGAACACUCAUGCCUGACGGAGCCAAGCUGAGCUCAGAAGAACAGCCCUGCUGAGCACAGCCUAAAUUUCUAGCCACCUCAAU